GGCUGGGGGAGUGGGGAGGUCCCCACCCACUGCUUCUCUUCAAGUCAUGAACAGCAACUAUUAGGCAAAGGAGCAUGUCACAGAGUCAGGAGGUCCCUCUCCCACCCCACAAAGGAGGGCCGGGCCCAGGACUCCGGGCUACUGGAACCUCCCUUGCUCUGGGCUGAUGUGUCUGUAAAGAUAGAGACCUUGGUGCAUUUCCAGGAUCCCUCCCCAGGAAGAGGAUCUCAAUAAACAUUUAUGGAGCAUUUUAACACACUCCAUAACACCUUCUAAAUAAGCAAGCUUGGAGUUCAGGGGAUGAUUCAAUGGAAAGUAACCAGACCGUUAAUGGGCAACAAGUGCAAGUCAACUAGAAGUUGGGCACAUGGUUCUGUUCAACAUCUCCCUGUUUGCGUGCUGUGUGACUACAGGAUGACUCUCCGAGCCCUUCCUCCUCCACGCUGUGUGUGUCAGCUCUGACACCAUCUCCUUCCAGAAGCCAGCCCUCAGCCCUCUACAUACUUCCACGACUGGGUCACAGAUAUCCCUCUAGUUGCCUCAGGCCCUGAGUUCUCCAUUCUAGGCCUGUCAUCCUGAGUCACUCUUUUCUCCACCAGAGAACUGUGUCAACUCUUGACUUGUGUCAGCCUAGGGCAGGCAUCUAAGGGAAGAGCUAUUGAGAAAAAUAGCCCAGAGGCCAUAGCUCAGUGGGAAGAGUGCUUGCCUACCAUGCAGGAAGCUCUGGGUUCUCUCCCCAGUGCUGCAUAAACCAGGCAUGAUAGAACAUUCUUGGAAUCCCAACACUAGGAAGGUGGAGGCAGGAGGAUUACAAAUUCAAGGUCAUCCUCACCUCCACAGUGAGUUCGAA